rnacentral:rRNA from 1 species
GUGGGGAAUCUUGCGCAAUGGGCGAAAGCCUGACGCAGCCAUGCCGCGUGAAUGAUGAAGGUCUUAGGAUUGUAAAAUUCUUUCACCGGGGACGAUAAUGACGGUACCCGGAGAAGAAGCCCCGGCUAACUUCGUGCCAGCAGCCGCGGUAACACGUAGGGGGCAAGCGUUGUCCGGAUUUAUUGGGCGUAAAGAGCUCGUAGGUGGCUGAGUAAGUCGGAUGUCAAAUCCCCAGGCUCAACCUGGGAUCCCGUCCGAUACUGCUCUGGCUAGAGUCCGGUAGGGGAGCGUGGAAUUCCUGGUGUAGCGGUGAAAUGUGCAGAUAUCAGGAGGAACACCAGCGGCGAAGGCGGCGCUCUGGGCCGGUACUGACACUGAGGAGCGAAAGCGUGGGUAGCAAACAGGAUUAGAAACCCUUGUAGUCC